GCAGAUGUGGCAGAGUGGUAAUGCGUCGGCCUUGAGUGAGUCUAUUAUAUACAUCUCUUGGAUAAUAGCCUGAAAGCAAGCCGAUUCGCCCUCGGGCGAUCAGGAGUUCAAAUCUCCUCAUCUGCGCCA
rnacentral:tRNA from 1 species